rnacentral:tRNA from 1 species
UGGGCUUGUAGAUCAGUGGUAGAUCGCCGCCUUCGCAAGGCGGAGGCCACGGGUUCAAAUCCCGUCAAGUCCAUC